rnacentral:tRNA from 1 species
GCCGGCCUAGCUCAAUUGGUAGAGCAACUGACUUGUAAUCAGUAGGUUGGGGGUUCAAGUCCUCUGGCCGGCACC